rnacentral:rRNA from 1 species
AGGGUCUUUGCGCCUAAAAUGUAACGGGGCUAAAGCCAUACACCGAAGCUUUGGGUGCAUAGCAAUAUGCGCGGUAGCGGAGCGUUCUGUAGGCCUGUGAAGGGAGACCCGUGAGGGCUCCUGGAGGUAUCAGAAGUGCGAAUGCUGACAUGAGUAACGUAAGGAGUGUGAGAGACACUCCCGCCGAAAGACCAAGGGUUCCUGCUUAAAGUUAAUCUGAGCAGGGUUAGCCGGACCCUAAGGCGAGGCCGAAAGGCGUAGUCGAUGGGAAUCACGUUAAUAUUCGUGAGCCUGCAGGUAGUGACGGAUCAUCAAGGUAGUUCAUUCUUAUUGGAUUGAAUGGGCUGCUGCGUGGUUCCAGGAAAUAGCUCCUGCUUAUAGUCCGUACCCGAAACCGACACUGGUGGUCUGGUAGAGUAUACCAAGGCGCUUGAGAGAACUAUGCUGAAGGAACUCGGCAAAUUGCACGCGUAACUUCGGAAGAAGCGUGACCCCUUAGUACGCAAGUAUUGGGGGGUGGCACAGACCAGGGGGUAGCGACUGUUUAUCAAAAACACAGGGCUCUGCGAAGCCGCAAGGCGACGUAUAGGGUCUGACGCCUGCCCGGUGCUGGAAGGUUAAGAGGAGAGGUGCAAGCUUUGAAUCGAAGCCCC